rnacentral:lncRNA from 1 species
CCACGUCAUUCUUCCUCUCAUCUCUCCCGGUCAUCCUGGAUCUCUCCUAUUAUAAAUAAGCUUGUGUCUCUCCCUCGUCAAGACGCAACAUAAAGCAAAUGCACGAAGAAUACCUAGAUAUGUAAAAAAAGAUGCGAGUAUAACAAAUAUUGUGAGAUCUUUGUGAGAUAUUUAGAGUAGUGAACCAAUGAUUGGAAAUGCCGACCAGUUUGUCUUUUAGACGUUUUACUAUUUAAAGAAAGAGAUACAAGCUCUUAAGUACGUCAAGUACGUUGUCAAAGUAUUUCACAUUGAAGGACUCAAGAGUGGACACUAAUAGAGACAAGUUAACACCCCGAAUACCUAUUAAUAGAGAGGGAAUUCGUGUAAAAGUGCGAGAAGAAGGCGGGAGCGAGAUAAACGAGAAUGGUCAGAAAAGUUUCCGAGCUCAACGUGAAGAUGGUAGCACUCGUAAAGAAAAGCUAGUUACAUCUAUCGGGCAACUAUUAACAGUAACUAACCAAAUUUUUAGUCAUUUUGUCAAGGAGUUGUUAUCUAAUAGACGUUUGAGUGAGUUGAAGUGAAUGUUUUUGUGAAAACUGACAAAAUCGAGUAUGGAGCAGCUGUUGGUGCAGUUUUGGGGCGGAUUAAUUACUGUAGAUAAACUCGGAUACCCCAUUAUACGCCUGAAACAAAACUACAGUCCAAACAGUGGACUACAAUGGGUAAAAACAAACUGAUUUUGUCUGGGAAAGUGAUGAUACUAUUUGGAAGGGUUCAGUGGUAGAAGCAUCACUAGGAUAAGUAUGUUGAAUUACAAGGAGACUAUGUAGAA